AAGCAGGUAGUUGUAAAAGAAAAUAUUUGGUUUCGGCCCAGAAGAUAUCAAUAAAAUGUUUCUGCUUU
rnacentral:tRNA from 1 species